AAGUCGUAACAAGGUCUCCGUAGGUGAACCUGCGGAGGGAUCAUUACCGAGUUCAUGCCCUAACGGGUAGAUCUCCCACCCUAUGUCAUUAUUACCUUUGUUGCUUUGGCGGGCCGUCAGAUCUCGGUCAGGCUACCGGCUUCGGCUGGUGAGUGCCCGCCAGAGGACCCCAAUCUCUGAAUAUUAAUGUCGUCUGAGUACUAUAUAAUAGUUAAAACUUUCAACAACGGAUCUCUUGGUUCUG
rnacentral:misc_RNA from 1 species